AACGAACGCUGGCGGCAGGCUUAACACAUGCAAGUCGAACGGGUGUAGCAAUACAUCAGUGGCAGACGGGUGAGUAACACGUGGGAACCUUCCUAGGGGUACGGAACAACUCAGGGAAACUUGAGCUAAUACCGUAUACGUCCGUGAGGAGAAAGAUUUAUCGCCCUCUAGACGGGCCCGCGUCGGAUUAGCUAGUUGGUGGGGUAACGGCCUACCAAGGCGACGAUCCGUAGCUGAUCUUAGAGGAUGAUCAGCCACACUGGGACUGAGACACGGCCCAGACUCCUACGGGAGGCAGCAGUGGGGAAUCUUGGACAGUGGGCGCAAGCCUGAUCCAGCCAUGCCGCGUGAGUGAAGAAGGUCUUCGGAUUGUAAAGCUCUUUUACCAGGGACGAUAAUGACGGUACCUGGAGAAGAAGGACCGGCCAACUACGUGCCAGCAGCCGCCGUAA
rnacentral:rRNA from 1 species